rnacentral:rRNA from 1 species
AACGAACGCUGGCGGCAUGCCUAACACAUGCAAGUCGAACGAGAUCUUCGGGUCUAGUGGCGCACGGGUGCGUAACGCGUGGGAAUCUGCCCUUUGGUUCGGAAUAACAGUUGGAAACGACUGCUAAUACCGGAUGAUGACGAAAGUCCAAAGAUUUAUCGCCAGAGGAUGAGCCCGCGUAGGAUUAGCUAGUUGGUGUGGUAAAGGCGCACCAAGGCGACGAUCCUUAGCUGGUCUGAGAGGAUGAUCAGCCGCACUGGGACUGAGACACGGCCCAGACUCCUACGGGAGGCAGCAGUGGGGAAUAUUGGACAAUGGGCGAAAGCCUGAUCCAGCAAUGCCGCGUGAGUGAUGAAGGCCUUAGGGUUGUAAAGCUCUUUUACCCGGGAUGAUAAUGACAGUACCGGGAGAAUAAGCUCCGGCUAACUCCGUGCCAGCCGCCGCAGUAAAAC